rnacentral:rRNA from 1 species
AAGAUACCUGGAUAUUUAUAGGAGAGGUAAUUGAAAUAUCGGUUAAUUAUUAAUACCAUUUGUGUGAAUCCUUAUUCUUAAUAUUAAUAUUAUAGAUAAUAUAUCUAAUAUAAUUAGAAAUCUUAACUAGAAAUAGUAAUAAUAUAAACUUUGUGAAUUGAAACAUCUCAGUAACAAAGGAUAAAAACCAACAGGGAAGAUAUAAGUAUCGGUGAGAGAAAGUAUCUUAAGUUUAUAAGUAUCACUAAAUAGUGAGAAAAUAGCAGUACUACUGUUAAAACUAAAGAAAUUAAUAUUAGAGUAAAGUACCGAAAGGGAAAGGGUUAUAUAAAACUUUAUAUAUACAUAUAUAUUAGUUUUUUUAUAUUGAAACACUAUGGUAAAGAGCAGCUAUAGUAUAGCGUACCUCUUGUAUAAUGGGUCAGUGAGUUAAUUAUAAUAGCGUAGUUAAUAACUAAUUUAAUAAGAAUAUAGUUAUUAUAAUUAGACCCGAAAGCACAUGAUCUAUGCAUGACCAAGUUAUUAUAUAUAACAUAAUAUAUAUAUAUAUAUUAUGUAUAAUCAUAUUAUUUAAUAUGAUGUAUAUAAUAGACUAAACAGGUGGGUGUAGCAAUACCCUCUGAAGAGUUGUGCAUAGUAGUGACAGGCUAACCUGAUGUGCAGAUAGCUGGUUCUCUGUGAUAUAUAUAUUAGUAUAGCGUCUAUUAUAAAUAAUAGCCUGGUACAUCACUGAUAUCAACUAUGGAGUAAUUAAUAACUUAUAUAGUGAUAUUAAUAUCAGAACAGGUCUAAUAUUAUAAAUAAAUAGGCAGUCAGUCUAUAGGCGAUAAGGUCUAUAGACAUAAAGGGAACAACCUAGACUGUAAACCGUAGGUCCUAAACUAUAACCCAGUGUAUAUAAUCUCUGGAUUGGACAGGCCUUAAGCCCGCCCCAAUUAUAUUGGGGCGGGCGUCUUCCAGUCCCCUUAUUUUAACCAAUUAGUCAGUGGAUAUGAUAGUAAUCAUCUGCUAAUAAACGUGUAACAACGUACUAAUCUUAUAUAAUAGGGUAGAGAAUAGAUAAUCGGGACUAUGUUAUAGACCGAGUAACAGAUAUAUCUCUCCCGCCCGAUCAUCAUAGAUGAUCGGGCGGGUUAAGUAGAAUAUAUGGUAACAGAGCACUCUACUAUCAAGUAGAGAAGAAUAUGCUGACUUGAGUAACGUAAGGAAGGAUAAGCCUUCCCCCGAUAAGUAUAAGGUAUAACUACUAAAUAACGGCCCCUAAUGGUUGGGGUGACAACCCCUCCCAGAUGGGUAACACCUACUAGAAAUCAGGUCUAACCGUACUGUAGUCCGACCCUGGUAUACUUUUAUAUAUAUAUUUAUAUCUAAUAUAGUAAUUUAAAAUAAUAUUACUAUUUAUUAUAAUUAAUAUAAUUAAUUGAUAUAAUAUUAUAUUAUAUAAUAACGGGCAUGAGAUAACCCUGGUGAAUGAAUUCGGCAAAUUAAGGUUAAACCUUUAUAUAGUGCGACUGUUUACCAAAAACAUAGCCUACUGCUAUCAUGAUAAAUGACAGUAUAGUAGGUGAUACCUGCCCAGUGUGUGUUCUAUAUACAUAAAGAACAUGUCAACGGCGGUCUUACUGUGAGGAUCCGAAGGUAGCGAAGUUCCUUGGCACAUAAUUGGUGUCCUGCAUGAAUGAUUACACGACGCUAUAACUGUAUCCAUCAGGGACUCAGUGAAUUAGUAAUUGCAGUGUAGAUACUGUAUAGCAACAGGUUGACGAGAAGACCCUAUGCAGCUUUACUAUAAGGCUACUUUGUGUAUGAAUAUAUAUAUAAAUAUACAUAUUAUAUAUUAUUUAAAAUAUAUAAAAAAUAUGAUUUAGAUUGUAUAUUAUAACCACUAAUUUAUUAAUAAAAUAAUAGAGACAUAGUAGCCUGGUUAGUUUCGAUGGGGCGUCGGCAUCAUACAUUCCAACUGAUGUGUCUAUCUGACAAUAAUUGUAUAUUUAUUAAGAUACUCUCUAUAUACCCCGCCCGAUCAUCUAUGAUGAUCGGGCGGGGACCAGUAUAGAUAUAGUUCUUAAUAUUUAAUAGUAUGACUUAGUACAGUAAAGCUAGAUUGCAACUAGUUAUAUAACGUAUAGCUCAUUAUAUAUAUAUUAUAUAUAAAUAUAUCUAUAUGUUAUAAUGUUAAGUAUAAUAACUUAACUGUGCUAUGAUAAUAAGAUUAACAAAUCUAAUUAGUACGUAAGUAGAGUAUAAUGAACAGGUGAUAUCUAGAGUAAGGAGUGCCGAUAACGGAUCAAAGUUACGCUAGGGAUAACAGGGUAAUACCGCUAGAGAGUCGAUAUCGUCAGCGGUGUUUGCCACCUCGAUGUCGUCUAGGCUCAUCCUCGCGGUAGAAGCGGCUGCGAAGGGUAGGACUGUUCGUCCUCUAAGGAGCUACUUGAGAUGGGUUAACUACGGCGUGAGCCAGUAGUGUUUCUAUCAUCUGUUGCUUUUAUUUAUAUUUAGCUCUAUGUGUACGAGAGGAUUGUAGAGCACUAUCCUCUGAUUAUUAACAUAAUUCUUACCCCGCCCGUCUUCAUUGAUCAUCGGGCGGGCUAUAAUUCACUUAUUGUUAGCAGUUAAGAUAGGAGUGAUACGCAUUGAUUGCCUAUCAAAUGCUAAACCUAUAAUAUAAAUAAUUUAAUCACUAAAGAAUAUAGUGUUAUAGUUAUAUUAUCUAUUGGAUUAUAUAUCUAAUAUAUAACUUUAUAUAUAAAGUAUAAGGUUAAGUUAAUUAACAAGUGAACAAUUACCUCAUUAAAUAA